AACAUAGCUUCUAGAAAUUAUUAGAAGUGAUACCUGCCCGGUGUUACUAAUAAACGGCCGCGAAAGUGCUAAGGUAGCAAAAUAAUUUGUCUUUUUACUGAAGACUAGUAUGAAUGGAUGAACGAAGCCCAACUGUCUCCUUAUAUUAAACAUAACUUUAUGAAUAAGUGAAAAAUCUUAUCAUUUUAUGAGGGACGAGAAGACCCUAUAGAGUUUCAGUAAAAACUUUUACUAACUAAAAGCAAUACUUUUAUUGGGGCAAUAUAAGAACAACCUAAAAAUCUUAAAAUUCAAUAUACCCUCAAAGAGAAAAUAACAAACUACCUUAGGGAUAACAGCGUAAUCUCACCAGAGAGACCUAAUCGAAGGUGAGGUUUGCGACCUCGAUGUUGGACUAAGAACACUCUUUUAUGUAGAAGUAAAAGAAGUAAGCCUGUUCGGCUUUUAAAAUCUUACAUGA
rnacentral:rRNA from 1 species